GUCACAUAUAAAAGCAUUUGACAGUAAAGCAUUGAUUUUGAGCUAGACUGCUGGAAAGUUACUGCUAAUAAAUUCUUUUUAUAAUCAAUUAUC